rnacentral:lncRNA from 1 species
ACUCUUGUGUUUGGUGUUCGGCUGCAGUGUGCGAUCCAUGAAUGCCACAAUAAUGUGGGACAUUAAAACUGUUAAUUAAAUCUGCAGUUCAAGACCCUGGCUUCAGUCCUGACUCAGCCAGUCAACAGCAGAGCUAGGUUUUCUUUCUGUCAGAAUUUAAAACUUCACGCUGGAGAACCGCAGUGGAGCACAGAAGCAGAUGGAGCCUCCAAACAGUGUCAUACACACUUACUACCAGGGCGACAUCAACACUGUGGUGGAUGAACACUUCUUCCGCGCUCUGAAUAAAACCAGCAUGCCGAAAGACCUGAGCACCAAGAGCAGGGAGAACCGCAGAGCACCAAAACCGGAUUUUCCUGCACAGUCCUCAUUUUCUCCAUCCUGGUCCAGAAGUGGGUUAUAUCCAGGUUCCUCCUCCAGCCUGAACAUCUCUUCCUCUGCUGAAGAACCAGCCAUGUCUCAGGGGGUCAUCAUUGGUCCACUGUCAGCUGACUCAUGGGUUUACCCCAGUAGGCAGGGGGCCGGUUAUGAUCUGCCCCCACUUCACCACCAACCUGCGAUGCCCUCCAGGGACAACACCUCCUUUCUUCACCUUCUGCACAUGGAGCGCUCUGAGGGGGAUGGACUGAUCGCACCCUCCACCAAAACAGACAUGCAGUUGGAGUGGACCACUGGGACUGCCGGCCACAGAGACAGACACAGAGGGAUGCACCUACUGGAAAAAAGUAAGGAUUUGUACUGGUUCUGAGAACGACACUUUCA